UAGAAUUCCACGUGUAGCAGUGAAAUGCGUAGAGAUGUGGAGGAACACCGAUGGCGAAGGCAGCCCCCUGGGUCAAGACUGACGCUCAUGCACGAAAGCGUGGGGAGCAAACAGGAUUAGAUACCCUGGUAGUCCACGCCCUAAACGAUGUCUACUAGUUGUCGGGUUUUAAUUAACUUGGUAACGCAGCUAACGCGUGAAGUAGACCGCCUGGGGAGUACGGGC
rnacentral:rRNA from 1 species